rnacentral:rRNA from 1 species
AGAGUUUGAUCAUGGCUCAGGAUGAACGCUGGCGGCGUGCCUAACACAUGCAAGUCGAGCGAUCUUCUUCAGAAGAGAGCGGCGGACGGGUGAGUAACGCGUGGGUAACCUGCCUCAUACACAUGGAUAACAUACCGAAAGGUAUGCUAAUACAAGAUAAUAUAAGAGAUUCGCAUGGAUUUCUUAUCAAAGCUCCGGCGGUAUGAGAUGGACCCGCGUCUGAUUAGCUAGUUGGUAAGGUAACGGCUUACCAAGGCGACGAUCAGUAGCCGACCUGAGAGGGUGAUCGGCCACAUUGGAACUGAGACACGGUCCAAACUCCUACGGGAGGCAGCAGUGGGGAAUAUUGCACAAUGGGCGAAAGCCUGAUGCAGCAACGCCGCGUGAGCGAUGAAGGCCUUCGGGUCGUAAAGCUCUGUCCUCAAGGAAGAUAAUGACGGUACUUGAGGAGGAAGCCCCGGCUAACUACGUGCCAGCAGCCGCGGUAAUACGUAGGGGGCUAGCGUUAUCCGGAUUUACUGGGCGUAAAGGGUGCGUAGGUGGUUUCUUAAGUCAGGAGUGAAAGGCUACGGCUCAACCGUAGUAAGCUCUUGAAACUGGGAAACUUGAGUGCAGGAGAGGAAAGUGGAAUUCCUAGUGUAGCGGUGAAAUGCGUAGAUAUUAGGAGGAACACCAGUAGCGAAGGCGGCUUUCUGGACUGUAACUGACACUGAGGCACGAAAGCGUGGGGAGCAAACAGGAUUAGAUACCCUGGUAGUCCACGCCGUAAACGAUGAGUACUAGGUGUCAGGGGUUACCCCCCUCGGUGCCGCAGCU